CCCCCGCUGCGGCCGCCUGCUCUCAUCCACUUUACAGGCGCGGCACACUCCAUCUGAAACUAGCCAAAUGUCACCAUAAGGGCUUUAGUUGAAGGACAUACUAUAAUAUUUCAUAGCACAAAGUAAUGUGUUCUUUAGGAGCGUUUUGGACAACCGGUUUUUGACUGGAGGUUGAAAUGAAUGUUGAUUAAAUGUGAAACAGUGGCUUCGGUUUGUUAAUCAGUGUAUUAGUGUGUGUUUUGAAGCAAAUGUCAAUGUGAUCCUCUGUAAGAGUACAUGGCCCUAAAAUACAGUAUUUUUCAAGUAUCUCAAAAUUCUUUUUGUAUUGUUGUAGUGUCUCACAUUGUUGGAAGAGAUUUGCUGGAUUAUGUUUUUUUAAUUUAAUAGUUUAGUUUAAUAGUUGGUGCGACACGAUGAGAGCCUAUCAAGGGCUUUUAAACCUGUAGGGUCCUCGUGCCUUUUAAUUAUUCAUGAGUCGGGAAGGUUGAGCAUAAAAUCUAAACCUAGAUUUAAAGAUCACUUCCAACCUUCACUGAGGACAAAGAAAUGUUGACAUGAAGAAGUAGAAGUAAAUGAGCUCUACGCUACAAUAUGUCAAAGUGUCUCAGAAUAAUCACGCUUGUAUAGUGUACAUUUUGACUUAAUAAAAGUAGAACACUCAUUCAAAAUUUGUGAAUGGAUUUGUCCACAGGAAUGGUGUGUGUGUGUGUGUGUGUGUGUGUG